rnacentral:rRNA from 1 species
AAUUUUGGACAAUGGGGGAAACCCUGAUCCAGCCAUCCCGCGUGUGUGAUGAAGGCCUUCGGGUUGUAAAGCACUUUUGACAGGGAAGAAAUGACAGGAGCUAAUAACUUCUGUAGAUGACGGUACCUGUAGAAUAAGCACCGGCUAACUACGUGCCAGCAGCCGCGGUAAUACGUAGGGUGCAAGCGUUAAUCGGAAUUACUGGGCGUAAAGGGUACGCAGGCGGCUAGGAAAGAAAGAGGUAAAACCCCAGGGCUCAACCUUGGAACUGCAUUUUUAACGACCUGCCUGGAGAAUGUCAGGGGGGGGAAGAAUUCCCCGUGUGGCAGUGAAUGGCGUAGGGUUGUGGAGAAAUACCGAUGGCGAAGGCAGCCCCCUGGAUAAUACUGACGCUCAGGUACGAAAGCGUGGGGAGCAAACA